rnacentral:lncRNA from 1 species
UGCCAGGGUUUUAUCAGUUAGACAGAGCACUGUUGAGUAACCUUAGAAACUCUUUUCCUAGCAACUGUGUCCACGUCUCUGCCAAUCACGGCUGAAUCAAUGUGCCUGAGAGGGGAGCAGGAGAGAGUGCCUACCGAGGAGGAGCAUUGUUGUCCUUAUUCUGGGCUUUGACAGGACAUUGCUGGGGUGUUGGCAAAACAGGCAUGGUAUCAUUCAGCACUGGACACGGAGGUGCUGAACUGUUGCUGCUGGGAGCGAGAGGAAAUCUAGUCAGCUGAGGCCUGUGAAGGUACUGAGCAGGAGCUAGAAGAUACAAACAGAGAGAGAAGGGAGAAGGAGGAAAGUGGCACAGAUAAAGGAAGUUUAUGGGAGGAAAGAAAACUGUGAGAUGGGGGUGAGGAGACGUCCCUUUUUCUGGUUGGUGUUGCAUAUUGGUGUCAUCUCUCCCUCUCCUGCUCCCUUCUCC